rnacentral:rRNA from 1 species
ACGGCGAGUGAACAGGGAAAAGCCCAGCACUGAAGCCUGUGACCAUUUGGUUACUAGGCAAUGUAGUGUUUAGGUUGUUCCGCAGAGGCACUGCUCCACCCUAAGUCCGGCAAUGAUCACGGUAGUACGGACAUGGCCCACAGAGGGUGAAAGGCCCGUGGGGGUGGAGAUUCGGCAUGACAGUGCUUCUCUGGAUAGACCUUGGAGUCGGGUUGUUUGUGAAUGCAGCCCAAAGCGGGUGGUAAACUCCAUCCAAGGCUAAAUACAUACACGAGUCCGAUAGCGAACAAGUACCGUGAGGGAAAGUUGAAAAGUACUUUGAAGAGAGAGUAAACAGUGCGUGAAACCGCUCAGAGGUAAACGGGUGGAGUUGAACCGCAGGCUUUGCGAAUUCAGCUGGUGAAUAUGGUUUGAACUUGGUCAAAUCGGGUUAUUCCAAGGGCGGAGUAAAAUCCGGACCGCGUCUUCGGACGAGCUUGCGCGAUACUGCUUACCAAGCGUUUGUGCGCCUUGGAGUGAGAAAACCCUCUCGCCAGUGCACUUUUUCAGAGUCGUCAUCAUGACCGUCAGCUUCUCUGGCUGUCGUUGUUAAACCAGUCGAUUAUUGUCCUUGUGGCUUUUUUUGAUCGGGAUGGCAGGUAGCUCAUUGGACUGCUUGUGGUUCGCCACGAGUUUGGCCUUCGAGUGUUAUCAGCUGACAGCGACGGUUCAGUUCAAGCUGGCGGAGACUAGAGCUUGUGGUGUGAGCGAGAGCGCUUUGAUGGAGGAUGAGUUCGAGUUUGGUUACCAUGUUGCCUGUUCAAGCAGGCCUGGUGAUAGCUUGGAUUCUUAAUCUGUUGGCAGCUUUUGUGACACUAUGCCCAAGGGCUCAUAGUCUGUGGUGCAGUGGUAGAUUAUCCACCCGGCCCGUCUUGAAACACGGACCAAGGAGAGUAACAUGUGCGCGAGUCAUUGAGACUUACGAAACUCAAAGGCGCAGUGAAAGUGAAGGUCUAGCUUGUCUGGACUGUGGUGAGAUCUUGCUGUUCCUCACACGUGGUAUUACCAAGUAUAGAGCGGUAGGCGCAUCACCGGCCCGUCCUAUGACAAUGUUCACGGACGUUAAACAGUUGGGGCGGAGCAUGAGCGUAUAUGUUGAGACCCGAAAGAUGGUGAACUAUGCUUGCGCAGGUUGAAGCCAGAGGAAACUCUGGUGGAGGACCGCAGCGGUUCUGACGUGCAAAUCGAUCGCCAGACGUGAGUAUAGGGGCGAAAGACUAAUCG